rnacentral:misc_RNA from 1 species
GAAAAAGUACAGAUUCUAAAGUAGAUAUCUAUACUCACUUUAAUUUAGUAUCUUCUAUUGCAUAUAACACAAGACUGUGAAAGCUUCAAUCCCUCAUCUUUCUCCAGAAUUUUCUCAAUGGGCAAUCAUCGAAAUACCUUAGGAGAAGAGGUAAGAGUUCUAUAUGUAUAUACCCCUAGCUAGUGGUAUAGAUGAGAGACUAUAAAU